GUGCUCGCUUUGGCAGCACAUAUACUAAAAUUGGAACAAUACAGAGAUUAGCAUGGCCACUGUGCAAGGAUGACACGCAAAUUCACGAAGCAUUCCAUAUUUAA